GACGAACGCUGGCGGCGUGCUUAACACAUGCAAGUCGAACGGAAAGGCCCUGCUUUUGUGGUGUGCUCGAGUGGCGAACGUGUGAGUAACACGUGAGUAACCUGCCCUUGACUUUGGGAUAACUUCAGGAAACUGGGGCUAAUACCGUAUAGGAGCUCCUGCUGCAUGGUGGGGGUUGGAAAGUUUCGGCGGUUGGGGAUGGACUCGCGGCUUAUCAGCUUGUUGGUGGGGUAGUGGCUUACCAAGGCUUUGACGGGUAGCCGGCCUGAGAGGGUGACCGGCCACAUUGGGACUGAGAUACGGCCCAGACUCCUACGGGAGGCAGCAGUGGGGAAUAUUGCACAAUGGGCGGAAGCCUGAUGCAGCAACGCCGCGUGCGGGAUGACGGCCUUCGGGUUGUAAACCGCUUUCGCCUGUGACGAAGCGUGAGUGACGGUAAUGGGUAAAGAAGCACCGGCUAACUACGUG
rnacentral:rRNA from 1 species